UACGAAGGGGGCUAGCGUUGCUCGGAAUCAUUGGGCGUAAAGCGCACGUAGGCGGCUUUUUAAGUCAGGGGUGAAAUCCUGGAGCUCAACUCCAGAACUGCCUUUGAUACUGAGAAGCUUGAGUCCGGGAGAGGUGAGUGGAACUGCGAGUGUAGAGGUGAAAUUCGUAGAUAUUCGCAAGAACACCAGUGGCGAAGGCGGCUCACUGGCCCGGUACUGACGCUGAGGUGCGAAAGCGUGGGGAGCAAACAGG
rnacentral:rRNA from 1 species